rnacentral:rRNA from 1 species
AUUGAACGCUGGCGGAAUGCUUUACACAUGCAAGUCGAGCGGCAGCGCGGGGCAACCUGGCGGCGAGCGGCGAACGGGUGAGUAACAUAUCGGAACGUACCCAGUCGUGGGGGAUAACUAUCCGAAAGGAUAGCUAAUACCGCAUACGACCUGAGGGUGAAAGCGGGGGACCGAAAGGCCUCGCGCGAUUGGAGCGGCCGAUAUCGGAUUAGCUAGUUGGUGAGGUAAAGGCUCACCAAGGCGACGAUCCGUAGCUGGUCUGAGAGGACGACCAGCCACACUGGAACUGAGACACGGUCCAGACUCCUACGGGAGGCAGCAGUGGGGAAUUUUGGACAAUGGGGGCAACCCUGAUCCAGCCAUUCCGCGUGAGUGAAGAAGG